rnacentral:rRNA from 1 species
GACGAACGCUGGCGGCGUGCUUAACACAUGCAAGUCGAACGGAAAGGCCCUGCUUUUGUGGGGUGCUCGAGUGGCGAACGGGUGAGUAACACGUGAGUAACCUGCCCUUGACUUUGGGAUAACUUCAGGAAACUGGGGCUAAUACCGGAUAGGAGCUCCUGCUGCAUGGUGGGGGUUGGAAAGUUUCGGCGGUUGGGGAUGGACUCGCGGCUUAUCAGCUUGUUGGGGGGGUAGUGGCUUACCAAGGCUUUGACGGGUAGCCGGCCUGAGAGGGUGACCGGCCAUAUUGGGACUGAGAUACGGCCCAGACUCCUACGGGAGGCAGCAGUGGGGAAUAUUGCACAAUGGGCGGAAGCCUGAUGCAGCAACGCCGCGUGCGGGAUGACGGCCUUCGGGUUGUAAACCGCUUUCGCCUGUGACGAAGCGUGAGUGACGGUAAUGGGUAAAGAAGCACCGGCUAACUACGUG